GCCUGCCUUCUUCUUAAAGAUCUUAUCCACAAGAAGAAGAGGAGCCUUAUCACUUUUGAGGUGACUCUCAACUAUCUUUAAAAUGUUAAGCAGCUCUGUUAGACUAGUAUUCAGUUUGUUCAUAUGAUAAUUUAUAAUAAACUAUGAGAAUGACCCCAAAAAUGAUUUCAGAAUCAGAUCCUGACUGAGCUCUCCAUCCAUGACAAACACUAAUUGACUCAAUUGAGUGAUUAAGUCAAUUAUCUUUAGCACAUG
rnacentral:lncRNA from 1 species